ACAGAGUCCACGCCCCGCGCGGCUCCCUCGCGUCCCGCGUCCCGCGUCCCGCGUCCCCUGCUCACCCGGUGGCAAAGCCGGCGAGGAGGCGGCGGCGCUGGUGGGGACUGACCCGGCAGUCCGAGAAUCCACCGCGGCCUUUUCACCCAACCGCCCCCUCCUGCGUGGGGGCCCCGCAUCCCCUGGACUGGCGUGGGCUCUGGGGCCCGAUGCCCUGGCAGCCCCGGCCAUCUCUGCCGCUGGCCGCGGGUACCUGCUCACCUGUCCACGCCGUGGCCGACCCGGGGAUCACCGACAGCCGGGCCAUGCCUCGAGUCCCGCCGCCCGCGCCGCUGCUCGGCUUCUCAGAAACGCACCUCCACGCCGCCAGCCGGGGCUCCAGGGUCCACCGCCCGGGCCCGGAGGACUGGCGACUCCCUCCGAGGUUGGGAGCGCUCCGGAUUUCUCCAACUUCAGGUCGGUCCCCACCCACCGGGCCACGUGACUGGGGAGGAGCAGACCUGGAUAAGAAAUAUGUGCACUCUGCAAAGAACCAAUGAUAAAAGUAACAAUAUCGACGCUUACUGAGCCUUUACUAUGUGCCAGGUACUAGACUAGACACUUAAAAUGCAGUAUCUCAUUGGAUCCUGGCAACAGCUUGUAAGAUAGUAUUCUCAUCACCCCCAUUUUACAGGCAAAUACCUGAUACCUUCUGUCUGGCCUCCUGAAUGCUCCUUGGUUCCAUUCCAAUACGUUGUUCACUGUGCUGCCAGAGUAAUCUUCUCAAACGAUAAGUGUGAUCAUCUCACUUCCCUGCUAAGAGCACCUCAAAAGGCUUCCUAUUGCUCUUAGGAGAAACCCACAUUCUUGCAUGGUCUGCCUAGACCCUGCAUAUUCACUCUGUACUUCAGCCUCAUGGGCCUUCUUCCAGUUCCUUCCAGUCACCUGUUGCCAAAUGGCCUGCCUUUGACUGUCCUGUUCCCUCUGUGUGCAGUGCCCCCUCCUACCCUCUUCAGGAAACUCCUAUGCUUCUUCCAGACCUCAGCUCCAUUAUCAUUUCUUUAGGAAAGCCUUCUCUGACCUUCCAGAGAGAGUGAAGUCUCUCUAAUUAUAUACUAUCUAUCUCUUGGGCAUUUGACACUUUCUGUGGGGGUAGGGGUAGGGGGGUACUGGUUGUUGGAUUAAUAUUUGUCUCCUCCACUGAUUGGAACCUCCAGGAAGGUGACUGAACCCAUUUUUUGCUUAGCAUUGAUGCCCUAAUAUGCAGAGGGUUCUCAAAUACUAGUGAAAGGAUGGCAAAAAGUUAAGGUCGUACCAAAGAAAUCAAGUGGUAAAGCUGGCAUUUACUCCCAGAACCUGUGCUGGACUACCUAGACCUGGAGAGACUGGG
rnacentral:lncRNA from 1 species